ACUGCUAAAUAAGUAAAAUUCUUUUCUUUCCUCAUAUAACAUAUUAAUAUUAUUAUUAUUAUACAUGACGUGUGUGAUAUGAAGGUGAAUCCAGUCCAUGUAGUGAACUGUGUGCUGUAUUGAUGAGGAGCUCAGUGAUCAGAGUCCAUGUAGUUUCCAGGAUCAGACUGAAUGCAGUGCUGGAAGCUGCUGUUGACUGUGUGAAUGUGUGUCUGUGCUGCUUGUUGCUGCUGUCAAACUUCAGAUAAGCCGGUAGUGAAGCCCGUGGUGAGCGUGUACCCAGCAGCAUCCAGAGCCCACCAUGAGGGGAAGAAGAGCUCCCUGCUGUGUGUGGCCUCAGGCAUGUUUCCUCCUGUGGUCCGCUUCUCCUGGAAAAGACGAAAGGUGAACAGUCUGACGGAGGAGCAGGCACCUGCUGAGGAGGAGCAGCUGGAGCUCAGAGAGUCGGGACGCACCGCCGCCAUCAGAGCGAUUGAUCGGGACGCUCUCUACACGUAUAAAUACCGCUGCUACGUCCAGCACGAGGGGGGGGAAGUGGAGGCCCAAACAGAACAAGAGGUUUCACCUCCACCAUCAAUUCCACCAUCAGUGUCCUUCCAGUCUCAGUGCAGGGUGAAGCUGCUCUGGCUGCUGUACACAGUGCUGAUAGUGAAGAGUCUGGUGUACUGCUGUGGACUCCCUCUGCUGUGAAUCCUCAGAAACAAGGGACCGUCCACCGGCUGCACACAUGCUGACUGACUGCUUUCUGCUCGCCUUUUCUUUCCAUCAGAUCUCAU